GUCUCAGUAUAAGCAUUUAUACUGCGAAACUGCGGAAAGCUCAUUAUAUCAGUUAUAGUUUAUUUGAUGGUACUCACACUACAUGGAUAACCGUAGUAAUUCUAGAGCUAAUACAUGCCCAGAAGGCCUGACUUCGGAAAGGCUGGACUUAUUAGAUCAAGAGCCAACCAUGGGUUCGCCCAUGACUGAGCUGAAUCAUAGUAAUUUUGCUAAUCGCAGUGGGUUUAUCCCGGCGAUGGGUCAUUCAAAUUUCUGCCCUAUCAGCUGUGAUGUUAGUGUAGUGGACUAACAUGGCGUAAACGGGUGACGGAGGAUUAGGGUCUGAUUCCGGAGAGGGAGCCUGAGAAAUGGCUACCACUUCCAAGGAAGGCAGCAGGCGCGUAAAUUACCCAAUCCCGAUUCGGGGAGGUAGUGACAAGAAAUAACAAUACCGGAUCUUCAAAGAUUUGGUAAUUGGAAUGAGUACAAUCUAAAAUCCUUAACAAGGAACAAUUGGAGGGCAAGUCUGGUGCCAGCAGCCGCGGUAAUACCAGCUCCAAUAGCGUAUAUUAAAGUUGUUGCAGUUAAAAGGCUCGUAGUCGAACUUUUGGUUCUUUCAAACUGUCCCUCUUUCUUUGAUUGAGCGUGACGGUGUCGAGAACCUUCCUGAUGGAGAGCGUUUCUGCCCUUUACUGGGUUGGUUGCGUAAUCCAUCUCUUUUACUGUGAGAAAAACAAAGUGCUCAAAGCAGGCAUUUUUGCUUGAAUGCGUUAGCAUGGAAUAAUAAGAUAGGACUUUGCUUCUAUUUUGUUGGCUCUGAGAAACAAGUAAUGAUUGAUAGGGAUAGUUGGGGGUGCUCGUAUUUAACGGUCAGCGGUGAAAUGCAUGGACCCGUUUAAGACGAACUUAUGCGAAAGCAUUCACCAAGGAUAUCUUCUUUGAUCAAGAACGAA
rnacentral:rRNA from 1 species